UGGGGAAUAUUGCACAAUGGGCGCAAGCCUGAUGCAGCCAUGCCGCGUGUGUGAAGAAGGCCUUCGGGUUGUAAAGCACUUUCAGCGAGGAGGAAGGUGGUGAACUUAAUACGUUCAUCAAUUGACGUUACUCGCAGAAGAAGCACCGGCUAACUCCGUGCCAGCAGCCGCGGUAAUACGGAGGGUGCAAGCGUUAAUCGGAAUUACUGGGCGUAAAGCGCACGCAGGCGGUUUGUUAAGUCAGAUGUGAAAUCCCCGGGCUCAACCUGGGAACUGCAUUUGAAACUGGCAAGCUAGAGUCUCGUAGAGGGGGGUAGAAUUCCAGGUGUAGCGGUGAAAUGCGUAGAGAUCUGGAGGAAUACCGGUGGCGAAGGCGGCCCCCUGGACGAAGACUGACGCUCAGGUGCGAAAGCAUGGGGAGCAAACAGGAUUAGAUACCCUGGUAGUCCACGCUGUAAAACGAUGUCGAUUUUGGAGGUUGUGCCCUUGAGGCGUGGCUUCCGGAGCUAACGCGUUAAAUCGACCGCCUGGGGAGUACGG
rnacentral:rRNA from 1 species